GACGAACGCUGGCGGCGUGCCUAAUACAUGCAAGUCGAACGCAGUGGGGACGGGUGAGUAACACGUGGGUAACCUCCCAUCAGAGGGGAUAACACUUGGAAACAGGUGCUAAACCGAUACUGAUGGAUGAACCCGCGGUGCAUUAGCUAGUUGGUGAGGUAACGGCUCACCAAGGCCACGAUGCAUAGCCGACCUGAGAGGGCGAUGUGUAAAAGUGGGAGUGAGACAGGGCCCGGACUCCUACGGGAGUGAGCGGUGGGGAAUAUUAAGGCAUGGAGGUAAGCCUGACCGAGCAACGCCGCGUGAGUGACGAGGGUAUGCGGUCCGUAAAACUCUGUUCUGAGAGAAGCGGUAACUAACCAGUAAGCCACGGCCAACUACGUGCCAGCAGCCGCGGUAAUAC
rnacentral:rRNA from 1 species